ensembl:lncRNA
AGUCAAGGUAAAGGUAUCUCUUUCUGGAGAUCCCUGCAUACCUGAGGUCUUCCAAAGCGUGAGCUAAUCAGGCAAUUUUAUGUAUGACAACGAACAACCCCGUCCUUGCAAUGAUUUUCUGCACUUUGGGUGCACUUGGCUUUGUUGUACCGUGCAGCACUUGAAGAGACAAUUAUCUCCGCUCUGUGAAGAAUGAGAUACAGAGAAGGGAUAGAAGUGCACAGUCAGUCUGAGUGCAUUAAGGAUUUAACACUUCAAUGGCCUUGAGGGCAAACCUUGCUACUUUGGACUCCACCCCAAGGCUAAGUGAUGAAGUAUGGAGUGGAGGGCAGUAUGAUUCCAACAGGGGUCAAAAUGAUGUCCUGGGAACCAAGAUUGAGAAAUUAGAGGAGAUGGGCCCAAUGCAGUCUUGAUGAAAUCUAGAGGAAGAGAAGAUUUCUACUAUUGCUCUGCAGCAUCCUGGCUGAGUUUGUUGGGAGCCAUGGGCUCUGGUGGUGUUUGCAGCAGUUCCUUCCUUUUAAUUCUCUGCAUGUGAGGAAUGCCCUGAAUGGCAAGCAGACUCUUCCCAGUAUGAAGACCCUCAAAGGACUCACUUGCAGCCCUGCUUCUUGGAUUUGAUUUAAUAUGACAUUCUGAUAUUGCCAGGUCUGUUGUCUUUAUCUGCUGCCUUGUGAUAGCUGAAGACUUAAUGAGACCGUAAAUUUGGAAACAAAUGGUUACCUGAAAAUGUUUUUGUUUUUUUUUAGUAAACACAUUUAUGAUUUUCACAAUAGAAAAGUCACUUUGAAAAUAAUUCAACUUUCUCUAGGUUAGUUUUUAUUUUCAGUCUCACAUCCAAUCUGAUUGUUUGGGAAGAGCAAAGAUUGGGUACUAAGUCACUUGUAGGGUCAGAAAGAAUGCAGCUAGAAUGAAAGGCCAUUCAGGUUUCUGGAGGGAAUUCCUGGGAUUUUGAAAAAUAAGUGGGUUUGUCAUUAACUGCCUUUGCUCACUUCAUAUUAUUUUAUUUAUGCUGCAGUUAUGUUUGUUGAUGGAUUGGCUACCUUGUCUGGCCAACUGCUUAAUCUCACUUUACCAAGUGUGGGUUUGCAGAGAUGUAGGAGCAGAUGGAUACCUUUGUUCCAGUAAAUCUUUU